rnacentral:lncRNA from 1 species
UAUGUUAGACGAUGUCUGAAGACAUGGAUGUCACCGGGUCAUAUGCUAGACCGUAUAGUGAAUCAUCCAUCAUGCUGUUGACUUCGCUGGGGAGUCAGAGUAUGCUAUAUACUGCUGGGGAUAAGGGAACAGAACGGAUCAUACGCUAGAUCAUAUCUGAAUACCAGAGUGAGUUGUUCGUUAGGCGGAUGACUUUGAUGGGGAUGAAAGAUCAGAAUGGAUCGUAUGCUAGAUCGUCUCUGAGUUGCGGAAUAAGCCGUCUGUUAGGCUGAAUCUGACGAAAGGGAGGUAGUCGUAUACCAGACUACCAUUCAGAAAUGUACCUGUCCGAAGGUAGCAUCUGAGUAACAGAAUGAGCCGUCCGUUAGGCUGAAUCUGCUUUACAGGGGGUAGUCGUAUACCAGACUACCAUUCAGAAAUGUACCUG